UACAGAGGUCUCAAGCGUUGUUCGGAUUCAUUGGGCGUAAAGGGUGUGUAGGUGGCGCCGUAAGUCGGGUGUGAAAUUUCGGAGCUUAACUCCGAAACUGCAUUCGAUACUGCGGUGCUUGAGGACUGGAGAGGAGACUGGAAUUCAUGGUGUAGCAGUGAAAUGCGUAGAGAUCAUGAGGAACACCGGUGGCGAAGGCGGCGCUCUGGACCGAGACUGACGCUGAGGCGCGAAAGCGUGGGGAGCAAACAGG
rnacentral:rRNA from 1 species